rnacentral:rRNA from 1 species
UACAGAGGGUGCAAGCAUUAAUCGGAUUUAUUGGGCGUAAAGGGCGCGUAGGCGGACCGAAAAGUCAGAUGUGAAAUCCCGGGGCUCAACCCCGGAACAGCAUUUGAAACUCUCGGACUAGAGGGUAGAAGGAGAAAAUGGAAUUCCACGUGUAGCGGUGAAAUGCGUAGAUAUGUGGAAGAACACCGGUGGCGAAGGCGAUUUUCUAUUUUAUACCUGACGCUGAGAGCGCGAAAGCAAGAGGAUCAAACAGG